CGGACCGUGAACGCCCAGGCUUGCCCGGACUGCAGCAGCCCGUCGUCGCCAAAGUGAUCACCGUCGCCUAGCGCGCCGAGAUCGAGGGUGUCUCCAUACUUGCCAAGCCGGGUCCUGCUGGCUCGCCCGCGAGCGAGCAAGAACAAGCGCUCGGCCGGCUCGCCGACCUCUGCGAUGACCUCGCCUGCCGCGUGCUCGCGCUGCACGAAGCGAUCGGCGAGCGCCUCCAAGAUCUCGGCGUCCUCGAAGCCCUGCAAGCACGGCAGCUCGCACAGCUCGUGCGGGAUCACCCGCACCGAUCCGCCGACAUCAGUAAAUUCGAUGCGCCCGUCGCCCGCCACGUGGCUGAGUCGACGGUUGACGCGGUACACGCCGCCCGGGACGUCCACCCAGGGGAGCAGCUGCAGCAGCCACCGCGGGCUGAUUCCCUGCAUCUGCGGAACCGACUUGGUGACGCUCGAUAACUUGCGAGCGGCCUCCGUGGAAAGACUCGUGGCCCUAUUCAUCAGUUCUAUUCUCCUG
rnacentral:antisense_RNA from 1 species